UUACAGCCUGGCCCUAGCACUGGCUGCCCUGUGGCGCCUCAGUCCUGCCCAGGCCCUUGCUCCUGGCUCCAAUGCCAUGUAUGAGUUGGACAUGGUGAGCUUCCCAGCUGACUAUGCUGCAGGUUCAGCAGUGGGGUCCUGGCUGGGGUCUGGGCCCACCCCCCAUGCCUCCAGGGCAGCUGGGGACCCUGAGCCUUACCGGCUGGGCCACCUCCCGCAGGUACUGGGCGCAGUCCCGGUGUCCAUGGUACUCCGCCAGGUCUGCCGCCGUGUAACCAUCUUCAUCCCGCAGGGAGGGGUCCACGUGGUGGGAGACUAGGGUCUGGCAGCACUGCAGUGAGGAGGGCACACAUGUGACCCACCACGACACAAACCAGGUGCCCAUGGGACUGGCCCUGUGCGGGCCGCUCCCCUGCCCCAUGGCGCAGGCUGCCCUGAUGCCCUUCCCAGCAGGGGCAGGACUUGAAUCUGGGCCGUGGGGUGCCAGAGACCUGCCUAGGAGCCCCCGAGCCUCAUCCCACAGCCACCCUGUCCUGGCCCAGACAGUACCAGGCACUGCUUAUGAAGCAGUGCUGAGCUGACAGGCAUCAGGGUGCCCCGUCCAGACCCCUCACAGCUGCCAUGGCCCAAGUGUCAAAUGCAGAACCAGUUUCCAUGUUUGCCACCCUUGGAGGUGUGGAUCAAUGCACGUGAAGAGACGAGGCUCAGAGAGACAAGCAACCGGCCCCUGCCCCAGGGACUCAGGGCUACUUCCUGCCACAGCCCCACUCUCCGUGGGACCAUCCUCCUGGCCCAAUGAGGUUCCCCCCUAGUGCCUGGAGCACCAGCUCAUGCCUGACCAAGCCGCUCACCACCUUUGCCAGCCACACUGCAUGCUCCUACCCAGCCAACUUGGGGCCAGGACCCUCCUGUCUCCUUGUACCUGAUGGGCUCUUGUGAUGGGAAUGGGGAGGAAGAGGGGAGGGAAGGAAGCUGGGGAGGGAGUCCACAGGACUGGAAGGCUAGAGGACAUCUUGGCCUGUGAAGGAUUCAGUUGGAAGAGGGACGGGGGACCUCAAGAAUGAAUUCUGUACUUUAUUCUGUAAACAUUUCUGUGUCUCUUUUGUAGUACCAGGGAAACACAAAAACGAACUCGAGUUAGGCGAACGCUGUGUUCACAAAACUGUGCCUUUGACCCAAAUGUAUCUCUGAGAUAGACCAGCUGGGCCUCAGCAUCUUUGGGUGACACUGAAUUGAACUAAGUAAGAAGUUGUGAGACCCUUGGCCGGGCGCAGUGGCUCAUGCCCGUAAUCCCAGCACUUGAGGAGGCCAAGGCGGGUGGAUCACCUGAAGUCAGGAGUUCCAGACCAGCCUGACCAACAUGGUGAAACCCUGUUUCUACUAAAUACAAAAAAUUAGCCAGGCGUGGUGGCGGGCGCCUCUAAUCCCAGCUACUUAGGAGGCUGAGGCAGGAGAAUUGCUUUAAGCCAAGAGGCGGAGGUUGCAGUGAGCCAAGGUGGCACCACUGCACUCCAGCCUGGGCAACAACAGUGAAACUCCACCUCAAACAAGUUGUGAGACCCCAAAGGAAUUUUCAGCUCCUCUCUGGACUGCAGUGCCUCACCUAUAAAAGGUGCAAUUAGUGUUCAUUCUCUACAGAUAAAUACAGGUUCAGCAUGCAUGUGGAGCGGCGGGUGUGCCAUGCCGUGAGUAAAUACAACGUGACGCUGUCGUGUGUGGCAGGGGGCCUGGCAGCGAAGUCCAGUGGCCUUGAGCUCAUCUGGCUCUGUGACUUGCUGGUCAGAGAACUUGGCCAGCUAACUGGGCCUGUCUGUAAAGUAAGGACACCUGCAUUGAUCUAUGGUCGGCACCACCAGCCUCCCUUGCCCCGGCCCCUACCGACACUCACCUGCGCAGCUAGCAGGUCAGCUUGAGACCUCGAGGGCGAGUGCCUUGUCCUGGGGGAAUCCUCUGGAGGGCUUCCUUCCCCUCCCUCCUCUGCCCUGAGUUCCAUGGCCUCCAAGGUGGCCACAGCCUGAGGAGGCCACAGCGCCACCAGGGGAAGGUGGACAAAAAGAUAGAGCCCUGCUCCCUGGAAUCCCUGCAGGUCCGAAAGACCAGUGCCAGAACCGCCGCAAGAUCAGCUCCAGAACCGCCACAAGACCAGAGCCAGAACCACCGCAAGACCGGAGCCAGAACCGCCGCAAGACCAGCGCCAGAACCGCAGAGCCACAGGGCUUGUCACUGCCUGAGGAUGAUGACCCUGCGCCUCUAAGCUGCAGACUGGGGUGUCUGCUCACGCACUGCCUGCCUUCCUGGGUGCCGUGCUGCCCUCCAGAGAGUAAGCAGCUCAGCCCGGGGGCCGCCGGCUCUGGCACAAAUAUGCAACCCUGGUCGUGGUGCGAAAGCUGCCACCCAUAGCGUGGCCGGGUGCCCACAAGGCUUUAUUUGUGGGCACUGACAUUUUAACUUCAGAUGAGUUUCAUGUGUCAUGAGAUGUGAUUCUUUUUCCUUUUCCCCAUUUAAAAAGGGAAAAACUAUUUUGAGCUUGUGGGGCCACACAAAAUCAGGCGUGCGCACACCCCUUCCCCGGGGGCUGCUGGGAGGCUUGAACCAGAUAACGCCUGAAGGCUCCUGGAGGCCCAGAAGGGCUGAGCCAGUGGCUGGUGUGGCUGAGGAAGCAGGAAGCAUUUGUCAGAUGUGCAAGGACACCGGGGCUGGGGAGGCUGGGGCAGGUCGCUGAAGCCAGUCGCUGGAGAGAGGCACUGCUCCCGGAGGCUCUGGGCUGGGGGAAUGGCAAAGGUUUGCCAGGGCGCGGUGGGUGUGUGGGUGGGUGGAGGCGGAGCGUCCCCAAGGAGCUGUUGCUGGGAAGAGGAGGCCAGGAUGCGGAGGAGGGGAGUUACGGGGUCUGCAGGAGUAUGAGGGGUGUCACGGCAGAGGAAGGGGGACAAGUGUCAGACCUGGCCCCAAAUGGUGCUGGGGAGAGAGGGCAAAGCCCUGAUAGGAACAGAGCCAUGGGGAGGAGGAAGGGAACCUCUCCCCCAGAGUGACGGACCCCAUCACCGCUGGGAUUGUCAGCAGAGGGUGGGUAGUGACAGACAGAACUCUGUCUGGAAGUCUGUGCAGAGGCCACAGCAGUGGAAAAGCAGGUGAGCAGAUGGAUCCACUCCAGGGAGGAGAGAACCAGGUGGGUCAGACCAACCCACUGCCCAAGGACGUGAAACACGGAUUCACUGUAAAAGUCACCUGCUGACAGCCUCAGUAAGGUAACGCAGAAGUCAGGAGUGACACGGCCACACUCAGGAGAAAAGGAAAGCCUGGGGGGUGAGGGGUGUCGGGGAGCCCAGCACUCAGAACUGCUCUUGCCCUGAGCCUGGGCUGACGACGGAAGAACAGUUAUAUGAUGUGCCGUCCUCCCGCAGCCUCAGGGGACCAGGGAGGCCAGGAACCGUGCGGGUUCCAUCAGGGGUGGGGGCUCUGGUUGACCACCUCCCGAUGUGGCCAAGGGCUCCACCCUCAGAGAAAAUGGAAGCCAGACGCCAGCCAGGCCCCUGGUUCCUGUCACGGAGGUGGUCCUGGGAACUUCCUGCCUGGAAUGCGGAUUAAGAUGAUCCUAGGCCCACAUGUGCCCAGCAAAGGCAAAUAAGAUAUUGCUAAGGCCUCCAGUUAUGCCUACGCUUCAUUUUUCAUGUCAGCAUAUGUCAACAAAAAUAAAAAUACAAGGAAAUAAAAUACCAUGAACAAGAACCAGAAGACCCAGCCCACAAAGAAAUAGAAAUAAAGCUCUGAGAACUAACAGACAAAAAACAACUGUGCUUACUACUUUUAAAUAAAGAAAAAUCCAGGCAGCCAGAUCACAUCUCCUCAAAAUAACAGAGUAAAAAUAAACCCCUAAACAUUAGUAAUUAUACUGACUAUAGAUGGUCUAAAUGCACCAAUAGGUAAAGACUGUCAGGCUGAUGAAAAAAAUUAAACAUGACUGCAUAUGGUUAACCAGAGGUACUGGCAAACAUAAGGAUUCAGAAGGCCGAAAGCAAAGUAUGAAUAAGCUUCACCAUCAAAUAAGUAUAGAAAGAAAAGUCAUGUGUAUACAUAUAUCAGAUAAAACAGACUAGAUAUGGGGUUCAAAAUAUAUAAAACAAACGGUGACAGGAUUGUAGGGAAACACAGACAAAUCCAGAAUAAUAGCCAGGAAUGUUCACACAAUUCUCUCGAUCCACUUGAAAUCCAGUAAACUAAAAUGUGUACCUAUGGAGAUCUGAAGAACACAAUGACAUAAUGGACAUGUAGCGAACAGUCUGCAAACUCUACAGUCUUUCCAAGAACAUAUGCAACGUUGAUAAAAAUUGACCAUACACGGGGCAAUAAAGUAACUUAUCAAAAAAUCAAAGGAUUGAAAUGACCAGAGCAUAUUUUCUGACCACAAUGCAAUUUGGACAGAAAUUAAUAACAAAUAGAUAACUAGAAGGAACACCUUCGUAUUUGGAAAUUAAGAAACAUAAUUCCAAGGAAUCCCUAGAGCAAAUAAGAAUCAAAAUGGGAAUUAGAAAAUAUUUUUUAACUGAACAAUUAUCAAACAGUGGGAUACAGCUAAAGCAGUACUUAGAGGAAAAUUUAUAGCCUUCAAUAAAUAUAUUAGAAAAGAAAAAAGGUUGAAAAGUAAGUGAGGUAGGCACCCAUCUCAGUAAUUUAGGAAAGAAAGUAAUAACAAAGAUAAAUGCAGAAAUUAAUGAAAUAAAAAACAAACAUACAUUGGAGACAAUUAAUGCUUUUUGGAGGACCUUGAAUAAGUUAAAACCUGAUCGUUGGAAAAACUACUGACUAACAUCUAGUGAGGCUGAUUGAGACAAAAAAAGAAACACAAAAAUACCCAAUAUCAGGAAUUAAAAGUGGGGAAAUUACUACAUACAGACAAUAAAGGAUCAUGAGGAUAUUAAAAAUAACUUCAUGCUAAUACACUUAACAACUUAGACAAAUUUGAUUCCUAGAACAUUUCUAGGAAAUAAAUCCUAGAAAAAUAUAAUUUGCUGAAACCAACACAUAAAAAAUAGAAAGCCCUAGUAGUUCUAUAAUUAAAUAAAUUGAAUUAGUAAUAAAAAACCUUCCCUCAAAGAAACAGCCAGAUCCAGAGGAUUUCACGAGUGAAUUCCACAAAACCUUUAAAGAAAAAAAUAAGUCUAAUAUAACCAAAAUGUCUCAAAAAAUAGGAAAAGAGGAAACACUCCCUAAUUCAUAGCAUAUUUUGAUACCAAAAUCUAACAAGGAUAAAACAAAAAAAGGACAUUCCAUGCCAAUUUUACUCAAGAAUAUAAGGCCAAAAAUCCUAAACAAAAUGUUAGCAAAUUGAAUUCAGCUAUAUUUAAAAGGAAUAAUAUGUCAUGUUGAAUUUAUUCCAGGAAUGAAAGGUUGGUGUAACAUUUUAAAGUAAUCAGGGUAGAUCCAGGUAUUCUAAUGCUGGGUAUACAUAUCCAAAAGAUUUGAAGGCUGGAUCUCAGAGAUAUUUACACACCCCUGUUCAUGGUAGCAUGAUUCACAAUAGUCAAAAGGCAGAAGAACCCAAAUGUCCAUUAGCAGAUGACUAGAGAAAGAAAAUGUGGUAUAUACAUACAAUGGAAUAUUAUUUAGCUAUAAAAAGGAAAUUCUGAUGCGUUACAACAGGGAUGAACCUUGAGGACAUUAUGCUAAGUGAACUAAGCCAGAGACAAACGGAUAAAUACUGUACAAUUCCACUUAUAUGAGGCAUCCUAAGUCAUCAAGUUCAUAAAAAACAGAAAGUAGGAUGUUGCUGGCCAGGGGCUGGGAGAUAAGGGAGACGGAGAAUUGCUGUCUGAUGGCCAUAGCGUCUCAGUUUUGCAAAAUGAAAAAGUUGUGGAAAUUCUGCUGCACGACAACGUGAACAGACUUAGCGCUGCUGAAGUGUGUGCUCGAAAAUGGCUAAGAUGGUAAAUUUUAUGUUACGUAUUUUUUAAUCACAAUUUAACAAUUAAAAAAAUAAUUAGUGUAAUUCACACCAUUCAAAGGAUAACUAGGCCGGGCACGGUAGCUCAUGCCUGUAAUCCCAGCACUUUGGGAGGCCGAGGUGGGCGGAUCAUUUGAGGUCAGGAAUUCAAGACCAGCCUGGCCAACAUGGUGAAACCCCGUCUCUACUAAAAAUACAAAAAUUAGCCAGGUGUGGUGGUGCGUGCCUGUAAUCCCAGCUACUCAGGAGGCUGAGGCAGAGGUUGCAGUGAGCAGAGAUCGAGCCUCUGCACUCCAGCCUGGGCGACAGAGUGAGACUCCGUCUCAAAAAAAAAAAAAAAAAAAAAGAAUAACUAAUGUGAUAUACUGAAACACAAAACCUAUUAAAAGUAACCAUCAUUCCUCUUUAGAGGCUGCUGGAGGAUCAACUCAUUGUUUUGACAUUUUAUUUUUAAAUGGGAAAAAGCUGUCAGAGCCAAGAGGCAUCUGAGGAGACUUGAUAAUUAAAUAUCAUAUGGCAUCCUAAAUGGGAUCCUGGGACAGAAAAGGGACACUCGGUAUCAUAUGGCAACCUAAAUGGGAUCCUGGGACAGGAAAGGGAAACUCGGUAACAUAUGGCAUCCUAAAUGGGAUCCUGGGACAGGAAAGGGACACUCGGUAUCAUAUGGCAUCCUAAAUGGGAUCCUGGGACAGAAAAGGGACACUCGGUAACAUAUGGCAUCCUAAAUGGGAUCCUGGGACAGAAAAGGGACACUCGGUAACAUAUGGCACCCUAAAUGGGAUCCUGGGGACAGAAAAGGGACACUCGGUAACAUAUGGCACCCUAAAUGGGAUCCUGGGACAGAAAAGGGACACUCGGUAACAUAUGGCACCCUAAAUGGGAUCCUGGGACAGAAAAGGGACACUCGGUAACAUAUGGCACCCUAAAUGGGAUCCUGGGACAGAAAAGGGACACUCGGUAACAUAUGGCACCUUAAAUGGGAUCCUGGGACAGAAAAGGGACACUCGGUAACGUGUGGCAUCCUAAAUGGGAUCCUGGGACAGAAAAGGGACACUCGGUAACGUGUGGCAUCCUAAAUGGGAUCCUGGGACAGAAAAGGGGCACUCGGUAACGUGUGGCAUCCUAAAUGGGAUCCUGGGACAGAAAAGGGACCCUCGGUAACGUGUGGCAUCCUAAAUGGGAUCCUGGGACAGAAAAGGGACACUCGGUAACGUAUGGCAUCCUAAAUGGGAUCCUGGGACAGAAAAGGGACACUCGGUAACGUAUGGCAUCCUAAAUGGGAUCCUGGGAUAGAAAAGGGACAUUCGGUAAAAGCUAAGGGCAUCUGAAUGAAGUGUGGGCUCUAGUUAGUAACACUGUGCUAGUUUGGGUUCACUAAUUGUGACAAAUGUACUGUACUAACAUAAGUUGUCAAGAAUGGAGGAAAAGGCUGGGCAUAGUGGCUCACACCUGUCAUCCCAGCACUUUGGAAGGCUGAGGUGGGAGGAUUGCUUGAGCCCAGAAGUUUGAGGCCUGCCUGGGCUCAGCACAGUGAGACUCCCAUCUCUACAAAAUUUUUUUAAAAAAUUAGCUGGGCGUGGUGGCGUGCGCCUAUAGUCCCAGCUACUCAGGAGGCUGAGGCAGGAGGAUUGCUUGAGCCUAGGAGUUAGAGGUUGCACACGGUGAUGACACGCUGUUGUGUGUUUUGAAUUCCACAGUAAGAAAUUUAAAAGGGAAGAAGUCUCUGUUUUGAGGCUUGAGUAAUUUUCUUUUUACAGAGGGAAGCUGAGGAGCCAGAGGAGUCAGCUGAUUUAUUAAACUUCUUGGGCUGCUAUCAAAUAUUUCAUUUGAAAGAAGAUUUUGCUGCUUUAAAAAAGCUUAAAAACCCCUGGCCAGGGGCCACUUACCCCUUCUGAGCCGAGUCUCCUGGGGCCUGCCUGAGCCACUCAGCAGAGCUCCUCCUGCCACCAGCCACCUGUCAGGGACAUGCCUCCCAGGGCCUGCGGGUCACCCCUCCCCCCACUUCCUAUCUCUGUCUAGGUUGGGGACAGAGACUGGGGAGACAGAGCUGGGUUGUGCAGAGCUGAGUGGACGGGGGAUGGUGAGAGGAAGGGCGGUAGCUGGGGGGCCUCAGAGAAAGAUGCUUUCAGCAGCGCUGCCGGGAGGGGGGAUUGGGUUUCCUCUGCAUUCUGCCAAAGGCUCAGCUCUGCAGGGAAUGCGGUGCCUUCCGAUGGCUCUGCGGCUGCACCGUGUGUGAUUGUUUCAAUGGCACUGCUGAGACUGGGUGACCCGGGGCCCCAGGAAGACCUUGGGUUCUAGCUGGGAGCAGUUGUCUAGACUUGCAGACCCAGAAUGCGAUGGUUGGUUGCACUUCCACUUAAAAUCCCCCCAGACUAGCCUUGCAGAGGCCUGGAGCACGCUGCUGGCUCCCGACUGAGCAGCCUGGGCCCAGGAGGCUUUGGAAGAACGUGGGGAACCAGGAGACUUCAUGGAGGUGAACAGACCCGACACUGCUCAGGACCGGAUGGGGCUGGGGAGAAGUAAACUGUGUGCAUUCUCCUGAGAUGGGGCCUUGCCUUUAGAUGAGGUCGACAUCGGGUGGGCACCCGGGCAGGGCCAGCAGCUGAUGGCUGCACCCACCCUCAAAGGCUGGGUGUGGUUCUGAUGUUGUUGAACAUUUGAAUACCAUCCCUGCCUACGUGGGGUUUUUGGAUGUCGUGUCCUUGAGGCUGGGCCAUGUGAGCCCCCAAGAUUUAUCUGGGUAAUAGCAAAGGGGCUGACAUCACACCCCUGCCACAGCUCUACUCGCAGGCUGCUCACAGCAGAGGGUCCGCCCCAAGGGCUGUUCUGAGAAGACUGUCACCAAGACCAAGCCCUGACCAGGCACGAGGGAGUUUCUGCGCGAAGGGAGGGAGGAUGGUACGCAGGACGAGAGCAUAGAGCUUGGAUCUUGCCACUUGACCCUGGGAUCUUGACCUUGGGCAAGUGACAGUGCCACUUAGAGCCUCAGUUUACCUAUCUGUAAAAGAGGGUCAUCACUCUUACAGGGUUGCUGUGAGGGUCAGUGACACAGCACUGGGCAUGGCUGGCACUUGUGACUGCUCACCCUGUCUCCCUCACGCCCACCUUACCUCCAUCUGCCCGUUCUCUGCUGCGUCGUGGAGGGGGGUCCCACCCCAGGAGUCUCUCAGGAUGGGGGUACCCAUGAGCAGGAGUCGGUCUAGAAUGGGCGUGUGGCCGCCUCGGGCUGCAAAGUGCAGGGCCGUGGCCCCCUCAUUGUCCCGUGCCGUGAGUCCGAUGUCGGUGAAUGUGACCUGGGGAAGGAGGGGCAGAGGGAGCAGCCAUCCUCCCAGGGAGGAGGCACACAGAGUGGGAGGGGCUUGGAGCAGAAGUGAAAGUGGACUCUGGCUGUACCUCUCGGGGCACAGGGUACAACCUCAGGAAACCCCGGACAGGGCUGGCUGAGCACGUGCGUCCCCGUCACCCUGGGGCAGCAGGACCUCUGGGGUCCAGGUGGGGGUGAAGUGAGCGCAGUAGCUUAAUUUGCAGACACCAUGGUCCCAAAUCUGAAAGCAAACAUCAUGGCAAAUGAAAACACCUAGGGAAGAGUAAACAUGUGUUUGCUAUGAAGGAAGGAGAGGAGAGAAGGAAGGGAGGGAGGGGCGGGGAGGGAAGAACUUCAUUUGGCCCGAGGGUGGCGCUGCCUCGUUGGGCAUUUGCACUGAGCCCCUUUGCUGGAGCAGCGGGUCCUGUGGCCUCCCUCCAGGGCCUGGAUUCGAGCCAGGCAAUGAGGUUUGGGGCCCUGACCUGCCGGCCACCACCGCUGGAGCGACUUGAGGCCAGCCCUGCCUCUGGGGCCUCAUCUGCCUUCUGAAGGGCCCCUGCUGUGGUCCACAGCACCAGCCAGGUGACAGUCCUCUACACUGACUUGCGGAAACCUGUGCAGCUGGGACAGACAUGGGGCCUGGGCCUGCCAGUGGGACGCGGGGGUCUCCUAGGACAGCCUGCCUUCCUGACAGACGGGUGAUGGGCGUGCUGGCUCCCCGCCUUCACCCUCCUUCCUGCCUUGAGUGUGCCCGCUUUCCCCACUGGGGAGGCCACGAGAACAGCAGAGCCGCCAGCAGCCCGUCGCCUUCGGUGUGAGUGCCUCCUAGCGCAGCCAGGGCGCUCCUGACUGAUCAGUACUCAGAAGUGUCUGUUGGGCAAAGCACAAUGAGCUGGAAACAGAGACAGGGACAGGGCUGCCGUGGGGCUCCUUCGCAUCUGGAGUGGCCUCUCUGGCCCUGAGACCCCGAGGCCUGCCCGCUUUCUCCCCAGGAAGGCCGCUCAUGCCUCAGCACAGUCCUAGGGGUUCAGUGGACACCCUGUUUCCCUCCCUCAGGACCCCCUGUGGUGAGCUGCUGCUGCUCUGCCCACUGUGUGCAGCCGCCGCUCAUCCCAGGAGCCAGGCAUAGUUUGGGAGGCUGAGGUCUGGAGUGAAUGGGUCAGAACUGCUGGAGGGGCAAAGGGAGGAUGGCCAGGGUGGGACCCAGGUCCAGAGAGCUUCCUUUGGGGUAGGCUGCUCCAGCAGGAGGAGCUGGAGAGGCAGCCCCGGGGUGGGGAGGGGCGCACUUGCAGGCGAGGCACCGGGAGGGGCUGCAGUCUCCACGAAGGGAGGCUAGAGGCCAAUUCAGGCGGCCUUGGGGACAAAGUGGGCAGGCAGGCAGCAGCCUGAGGAUCUUGGGGCCACGGGGAGCAGGCCAGCGCCAUCCCGAGCGCCCGGGGACACGGUGAGCAGGCGGGACCCGUCCCAAGGGCCUCAGGGCCAUGGUGAGCAGCAGGCGCCAUCCUAAGGGACCAGGCCCCCUGUUCCUUCACUUGCCCACCCAUUGCUUCAGUAAACAUCUCCCGAGCCUGACUGCGUGCCAGGUGCGGGGAACGUAGCAGGUGGUGAAGUCCUGCACCCACGGAGCUCCUGGCGCCUACACGCCGGCUGGUGGAAACCACCACCAAGGCCAGGAGUCAGACACGCCGUGUGCCUGGUGCUGGUGCGCCGGUGGGGAGGAAAGCAGGAGUGAGGAUGGUCGGGGCAGGCGGCUCCCCCCAUAAACCAGCUGGGCAGGGAAGGCCCCAGGGGCAGCUGGGGAGCUGUGUGCCAGGCACAGGGUGCAGUGCAUGCAAAGGCCCCGGGGGCAGAGCCAGCCUGGCUUGCUGGAGAAGGAGCUGGACUGAGUGGGUGGGAGCCAGGAGACAGGAGGCCCCAGGCAAGCAUGGGAGGUCUGGGGGCAGGCAGCUCUCACUUCUCCAUCAGCAGCCACAGUGACCUUCCAAUAUGCCAGUCAGAUCCUACUGCUCCUGGCUCCGAGCCUUCCGUGGCUCCCCAGGACCCUCAGGAAAGAGCCCCGGUCCUCCCAGCGCCUCUGUCUGCCUUUCCUGCCCGC
rnacentral:lncRNA from 1 species